GGUCUUGAUUGCUGUUUGAUCACUGGAGAAGCUUAGAUAUUCAAGACAAAGAAUAUUCUAACAAAUUGACGAGCCAGCCAGUCUUUAGUCAGUUUUCUACGGCGAGCCUUUACUGCACGUUUGUUUUUUACUUUUCCUCUUCCGACAAAGGGGGGAUAGUGUGCAGUUGUCUGAAGAGAUCAAAGAGAUCCUCUGACUAAAAACAAAAAAACCUAGCAGUGUGAUCAGAAGAAAGUGUAAUUCGACACUACCAGACCAUUACCAGACCACGUGGUGAGAAGGAAGAGCAUUCCAGAACCGUGCAUCGUCCUGAGAGCAGAUUGAGCAAGCAACUGAUCUACGGUUGUAUGUAAGAAUCGAAUGGACAAUGCAAAUCAUUAAAAAGUUCAUCAUGGCAAAGACAUCUGACAUUCAAGAAGAGACAAUCCUUUUUGUUUCUAGCAGUUCUGACGGUGACCAUACUGAUGAUUGACGGUUCUAAGGAAGAUCUACAGAGUCAAGAAGAUCUACAGAUUUGACAACCAAUUUAUAGCCAAUUUAACAAUACUCAAGGGUUCCCAGACAUAAUUAAGAAGAAAAGAGAAAUUGAUGAUUUCAAUGGUCAUGUGUGUUUUGGUGUAAUGAAAGGGUACUUAUCAGUUUGUAACAUUAGAAUUAACUUUACUAGACAAAGUAAUGUGAGGUUAAAUGUUAUGAUAGGGCCUAAAUAUUUAUUUAGUUGGACUAAAGGGACCUACACACAAGAUGAUAAAUUUGGGUUUUGGGAACAUAUCAUAAACAAAGUAGUUUUAUUGAGUAUAGUGAUAGAAUGUAGUAAUGAUGUGUGUAAAGGUACAUCUUGGUGGAAAAACUUUGCUAAGUCAACAGAAAUUAUGGCAAAAUCAUCUGUUGGCUCCGCUGUCACCAAUGUUUUGUUACAUCCAUUUAUUAUUGUUUUAUUUGUGUCUUUUAUAUGUAUUAUUUUUCAAAUAUGUUUAUUAUGUAGAAUAAGAAAAUCGUAUUUAACUAUUCGAGAAAAGAUAAA